rnacentral:lncRNA from 1 species
GCUUCUCGUUCUGUGUAGAGCAAAUGGCAUCCUGCCUCCCCACGGCAUGUCCUUGCCUCAUGUUGCUGCGGACUGGCACUCCUUCUGCCUCCCCGUUGUUCUCGCCACUCGGCACCAUCAUUAAUUGUAGUUUUUGGCGCGAAAUCCAAUGCCCAGGAAUCGUUCAUGGAAGUGCAAAAAGUGGAGAACGCUCGAAGUGCAUUGGUGAACUACAAAAGAAAAUCCCCCUACAAUAGAGAAUGGAGAAUCCAUUCCAAAAGAAUGGCAAUGGC